AUGCACGCUGGCGGCGUGCCUAAUACAUGCAAGUCGAGCGAACAGAUGAGGAGCUUGCUCCUCUGACGUUAGCGGCGGACGGGUGAGUAACACGUGGAUAACCUACCUAUAAGACUGGGAUAACUUCGGGAAACCGGAGCUAAUACCGGAUAAUAUAUUGAACCGCAUGGUUCAAUAGUGAAAGACGGUUUUGCUGUCACUUAUAGAUGGAUCCGCGCCGCAUUAGCUAGUUGGUAAGGUAACGGCUUACCAAGGCAACGAUGCGUAGCCGACCUGAGAGGGUGAUCGGCCACACUGGAACUGAGACACGGUCCAGACUCCUACGGGAGGCAGCAGUAGGGAAUCUUCCGCAGUGGGCGAAAGCCUGACGGAGCAACGCUGCGUGAGUGAUGAAGGUCUUCGGAUCGUAAAACUCUGUUAUUAGGGAAGAACAAAUGUGUAAGUAACUAUGCACGCCUUGACGGUACCUAAUCAGAAAGCCACGGCUAACUACGUG
rnacentral:rRNA from 1 species